rnacentral:rRNA from 1 species
CAAUUCCGGUUGAUCCCGCCGGAGGCCACUGCUAUUGGGGUCCGACUAAGCCAUGCGAGUCUAUGGACUUCGGUCCAUGGCGGACGGCUCAGUAACACGUGGUUAACCUACCCUCAGGUAGGGGAUAACCUCGGGAAACUGAGGAUAAUACCCUAUAGGGGAAGAGGCCUGGAAUGGUCCUUCUCUGAAAGGACAUCCGCCUGAGGAUGGGACUGCGUCCGAUUAGGUAGUUGGUGGGGUAAUGGCCCACCAAGCCUACGAUCGGUACGGGCCUUGAGAGAGGGAGCCCGGAGAUGGGGACUGAGACA